CCUGUACCAGUGGGGUCCCUCAGCCUGGCCUGCAGUAUUGGGCCAAAACUGGCUCUCCUAUAUCCCCUGAGGGGUCCCAAAUUGCGAGAGGGUGCAGGCCAGGCUGAGGGACCCCACUGGUGCAUG
rfam:Myotis lucifugus cont2.9171, whole genome shotgun sequence.